CCCGCGGUAAUACGGAGGAUGCAAGCGUUAUCCGGAAUGAUUGGGCGUAAAGCGUCCGCAAGUGGCGAUGUAAGUCUGCUGUUAAAGAGUGAGGCUCAACCUCAUAAGAGCAGUGGAAACUACAUAGCUUGAGUGCGUUCGGGGCAGAGGGAAUUCCUGGUGUAGCGGUGAAAUGCGUAGAUAUCAGGAAGAACACCGGUGGCCAAAGCGCUCUGCUAGGCCGCAACUGACACUGAGGGACGAAAGCUAGGGGAGCGAAUGGGAUUAGAUACCCCAGUAGUCCUACCCGUAAACCAUGGAUACUAGGCGUGGCUGGUAUCGACCCUAUCCGUGCCGUAUCUAACGCGUUAAGUAUCCCGCCUGGGGGAGUACGCACGCAAGUGUGAAACUCAAAGGAAUUGACGGGGGCCCGCACAAGCGGUGGAGUAUGUGGUUUAAUUCGAAUGCAACGCGAA
rnacentral:rRNA from 1 species